UUCUAAAAUCCGACGGUUGGUGCUCGCAGGCUGGUUCACAGACUGCAGUUCAACGGGAAGCAGGAAGGCAACCCCACCGCCGUGGCAAGCCCCACCUGCGCUGCCCCCGCAACGGUCAGCAGACGGAUCGCCCGAUCCCCUCUCCAUUCACACGCCACUGGGAGCCUUGAACAAGCCCUGGGAAGGCAUUGGAGGGUGCUCUGCCAGCCCGGAUACCGGCCAACACGGUGGUUGCCAG
rnacentral:ncRNA from 1 species